UACGUAGGGUGCUAGCGUUGUCCGGAUUUAUUGGGCGUAAAGGGCUCGUAGGCGGCCAACUAAGUCGGACGUGAAAUCCCUCGGCUUAACCGGGGAACUGCGUCCGAUACUGGAUGGCUUGAGUUCGGGAGAGGGAUGCGGAAUUCCAGGUGUAGCGGUGAAAUGCGCAGAUAUCGGGAAGAACACCUAUGGCGAAGGCAGCUCUCUGGGACGGUACUGACGCUGAGACGCGAAAGCGUGGGGAGCGAACAGG
rnacentral:rRNA from 1 species